rnacentral:rRNA from 1 species
GACGUAGGGCGCGAGCGUUGUCCGGAUUUAUUGGGCGUAAAGAGCUCGUAGGCGGUGUGUCACGUCGAUCGUGAAAACUUGGGGCUUAACUCUGAGCUUGCGGUCGAUACGGGCAUCACUGGAGUUCGGCAGGGGAGACUGGAAUUCCUGGUGUAGCGGUGAAAUGCGCAGAUAUCAGGAGGAACACCGGUGGCGAAGGCGGGUCUCUGGGCCGAUACUGACGCUGAGGAGCGAAAGCGUGGGGAGCGAACAGG